rnacentral:rRNA from 1 species
AGUGAACGCUGGCGGUAGGCCUAACACAUGCAAGUCGAACGGCAGCACAGUAAGAGCUUGCUCUUACGGGUGGCGAGUGGCGGACGGGUGAGGAAUACAUCGGAAUCUACUUUUUCGUGGGGGAUAACGUAGGGAAACUUACGCUAAUACCGCAUACGACCUACGGGUGAAAGCAGGGGAUCUUCGGACCUUGCGCGAUUGAAUGAGCCGAUGUCGGAUUAGCUAGUUGGCGGGGUAAAGGCCCACCAAGGCGACGAUCCGUAGCUGGUCUGAGAGGAUGAUCAGCCACACUGGAACUGAGACACGGUCCAGACUCCGAGGGGAGGCAGCAGUGGGGAAGAGUGGACAAUGGGCGCAAGCCUGAUCCAGCCAUACCGCGUGGGUGAAGAAGGCCUUCGGGUUGUAAAGCCCUUUUGUUGGGAAAGAAAAGCAGCAGGUUAAUACCCCGCUGUUCUGACGGUACCCAAAGAAUAAGCACCGGCUAACUUCGUG